ACAUAACUGAUGCCUCCGCGUAUCGACUUUGUGCGCAUUUUAGCUAUUAUGUGUUCUUUUAAUUAAAAUGAUUCUUUUUAAGAUUCAUCUAUUAAAAAUUUGCUUUGGCAUAAUUUUUUUUGAUGAUCUUGUUACUUUGAGUAAAUUAGAGUGUUCAAAGCAAACAGAUAUAGCAUUUGUGCGUUUGAAUACUACAGCAUGGAAUAACAAAAUUGAACAAGUCAGAAUUUUUUUGUUCUUUUUUCUUAUUUUGGCUUAGUUACGAUUAAUAGGAGUAGCUUGGGGGCAUUUGUAUUCAGAUGUCAGAGGUGAAAUUCUUAGAUUUUCUGGAGACAAACAACUGCGAAAGCAUUUGCCUAAAAUACUUCCAUUAAUCAAGAACGAAAGUUAAGGGAGUGAAGACGAUCAGAUACCGUCGUAAUCUUAACCAUAAACUAUGCCGACUAGGCUUUGGAUGAAAGAUUUUAAAAUAAGAGUUUUUCUUUUCUCUCCGGAGAUUAGAACUCUUAGAUUGCUUCCUUCAGUGCCUUAUGAGAAAUCAAAGUCUUUGGGUUCUGGGGCGAGUAUUCGCGCAAGCGAGAAAGUUAAAAGAAUUGACGGAAGGGCACCACCAGGCGUGGAGCUUGCGGCUUAAUUUGACUCAACACGGGAAAACUCACUAGUUUAAGACAAGAGUAGGAUUGACAGAUUAAUAGCUCUUUCUUGAUUUCUUGGAUGGUGAUGCAUGGCCGUUUUUAGUUCGUGAAUAUGAUUUGCCUGGUUAAUUCCGAUAACGAACGAGAUCUUAACCUGCUAAUUAGCGGCAAAUACGAUAUAUUCUUAUGUAGAAUUGAAUAUAGUGGAUUUGUUAGAUUUUGAAGAAAAUAUUGGAAUUACGUUAAAUGUGAUUCCUUUCCCUUUUCUACUUAAUUUACAUUUCCAUCUAUUUCUUUUUUGCGUAUGAAUGUAUUUGCUUGAUUGUAAAGCUUCUUAGAGGAACGAUGUGUG
rnacentral:rRNA from 1 species